rnacentral:rRNA from 1 species
CAGCACCUCAAGUGGUCAGGAUGAUUAUUGGGCCUAAAGCAUCCGUAGCCUGCUUUGUUAGUUUUCGGUUAAAUCCAUACGCUUAACGUAUGGGCUGCCGGGAAUACUGCAAAGCUAGGGAGUGGGAGAGGUAGACGGUACUCGGUAGGAAGGGGUAAAAUCCUUUGAUCUAUUGAUGACCACCUGUGGCGAAGGCGGUCUACCAGAACACGUCCGACGGUGAGGGAUGAAAGCUGGGGGAGCAAACCGGAUUAGAGACCCGAGUAGUCC